AUGCCCCAGCCCCGGGCCGGCAGGAGGAGACCUGGGACCCCGGAGCCUCGGGUGUGCAGCAUCCAGCCCUUUAAGUCCAGCGAGCAGUACCUAGAAGCCAUGAAGGAGGACCUGGCCGAGUGGCUUCGGGAUCUCUACGGACUGGACAUCAGUGCAGCCAACUUCCUGCAGGUGCUGGAGACAGGCCUGGUGCUGUGCCAGCAUGCCAACGCCAUCACUGAGGCUGCCCUGGCCUUCCUGGCUGAGACACCUGCCCAAGCCCAGAGGCUUCCUCUGCCCAGGGCCGGAGUUUCCUGUAAUGAGGCUGCCCAGCCUCGCACUUUCCAGGCCCGGGACAACAUCUCCAACUUCAUCCAGUGGUGUCGCAAGGAGAUGGGCAUCCAAGAGGUGCUGAUGUUCGAGACGGAGGAUCUGGUGUUGCGCAAGAACGUGAAGAACGUGGUGCUGUGCCUGCUGGAGCUGGGCCGCCGGGCCUGGCGCUUCGGCAUCGCGGCGCCCACCCUGGUGCGGCUGGAGGAGGAGAUCGAGGAGGAGCUGCGGCUGGAGCGGGCCCUGCCCCGGCCCGACCCCCCGCCGCCAGCGCCCCCUGCGCGCCGGCCCUGCCACUCCCGCGACCUGGACCAGCUGGUUCAGAGCCUGGUGAGCCACUGCACCUGCCCGGUUCAAUUUUCCAUGGUCAAGGUGUCGGAGGGGAAGUACCGCGUGGGAGAUUCCAACACCCUUAUCUUCAUCCGGAUCCUCCGGAACCACGUGAUGGUGCGUGUGGGGGGCGGCUGGGACACACUCGGUCACUAUCUGGACAAACAUGACCCCUGCCGGUGCACGUCCCUCUCACACAAGACAGGCAGCUUCUUGCAGCCCCCUGCCCACCUUGUGCAGCAUGAAGUGAGGGUGCAGGACGGGCCCUGGCAGCCCCAGCCUACGAUGACCAUCAGCCGCUCCCAGAGCCCACUGCCCCCCGUGGACUGGAAGACAUAUACUUCUUCAGGUCGAAAGCUGAGGCCCCCUGCCGUCUCCUCCCCCAGACCCCAGCGUGAACAGAGAGCUGGCCCAGGGGUCCACAGAGAGACAGCACCGUUGCUGAGGUGCCAGGAGAAGUUGCUCGCCCCAUCUCAGAGGCAGCUGCCAGCUGGGGACAACCUGCCCAGCCCCCAGUCCUCACCCACUCCCAGGGGCCUAGACCCACCGUGUACCUCCUUGGGGAAGAGGGAGGAGAGACACCCCCCUGAACCCCCCCGGGGGAGGACUCCCACAUCUUCGGUUCAUGAGAGGACAGACAGCCGGGGAACUCAUGCCAGGACCCCCACCCCCCAGAGACUCCAAGCCCCAGAGGCCACCGCCAAAGGGACGCCAGCAAGAGGACUGUCCCCAUUGCCUCGUUCUCCCAGCCCAGCCAUGUCCGUGGGCCCCAGGCGACCACCUUGGGGUGAGGUUGAGGGCACUUCCUCGCAGCUCAAGGAGCCAGAGCCUGUCUGCUCUCCAUCCCCUGUCAAAGGGUCCACCAAGAUCCCCAUCCAGUUGCCCCCAGCACGCCCCCCCACUCCGGGAAGAGGCUUUGCAGGAACUGCAAGUGGAGGUCCCAGCAAAGAACUGGAGAGAGGCCCCAUUCCAUUAAGGGCCAUCACUGGAGACCUGUCUGGGUCCAGACAUGAGCACUGUUCUGUGGAAGAGGGGCAGGAGGACCUGAAGCUGGACGUCCAGGUGACAGCGGAGGCUGGAGGGCCUUGGGGCCUGGGCCCACAGCACCGGGAGGGGAGGUGCACCCCCUUGCCAUCGGGCAGAACCAAGGAACAAGGCAUCCAUCACAGCCUUGAGGAGGAGCUUUCAACCAACAUGAAGCUGUUAGGAAUGGCAGGUGCCCACCCCCAGGGUGCUGGGUCUGUAGUCAUUCCUCGCAGUGGUGUCUAUGUGCCCAGUCUGGGUGGGUGGUGGCCUGAUCCUGGGGGUCUUUAUGACAAAGUCAUCCAAGAGCUGAUUCAGGGCCCCCCACCCCUCCUUAAAGUGGACCUGGGAGCCUGGAAGGCAGCUCCUCCAGGCUCCCCUGCGCCAGCUGUAACUGCAGGCCCAGGAAGCCUCAAAGGGAAACUGAGAGCCCGUGAGAGUGGGCCGACAAUGGCAAACCCAAGUGCCAAGGGCAUCAGGACGAAGGUCCAAGGGGGACAGGACUGCUCAGCCCCUACACUGUCUGCCAGCCCAGAGUCCCUCACACCUUCACCCUCUGACCCCAGUUCCGAGAGAGCCAAGGCAUGUCCAAGCAAGGGCAAGAGAACACUCCGGAAGCCCCAGAGAAUCCCAUCCAUCUACAAGCUGAAGCUGAGGCCCAGGAUUCGGCCCCGGAGAGAUCACAGGCCUGAGAAGCGGCCAUCACGGAUCCCCAAGCCAUUGACCUACCUGUGCCAGGGUCCAGUCAGGGCACCCCCCAAAGGCAGGCUGGUGAGGGCAGCACUGGGCAGUAAGGGAGGGGAGGCAACCCUGGUGGAUGGAGCCUCGGCAGGGGAGGAGGAGGAUGGAGAAGAGAGGAGAGAGCCAGCCACCCCACUGGAGAGCGGCUCCCCGCCUUUGGAGGGCCAGGGGCCCUGGCAGCUCGAUCCAGUCCCCCUCUCACCUGAGGAGGAGUCCUGGGUCGAA
rnacentral:lncRNA from 1 species